UACGAAGGGGGCUAGCGUUGUUCGGAAUUACUGGGCGUAAAGCGCACGUAGGCGGCUUUCUAAGUCAGGGGUGAAAUCCUGGAGCUCAACUCCAGAACUGCCUUUGAUACUGGAGAGCUCGAGUCCGGAAGAGGUGAGUGGAACUGCGAGUGUAGAGGUGAAAUUCGUAGAUAUUCGCAAGAACACCAGUGGCGAAGGCGGCUCACUGGUCCGGUACUGACGCUGAGGUGCGAAAGCGUGGGGAGCAAACAGG
rnacentral:rRNA from 1 species